AUUGAACGCUGGCGGCAGGCCUAACACAUGCAAGUCGAACGGUAACAGGAAGAAGCUUGCUUCUUUGCUGACGAGUGGCGGACGGGUGAGUAAUGUCUGGGAAACUGCCUGAUGGAGGGGGAUAACUACUGGAAACGGUAGCUAAUACCGCAUAACGUCGCAAGACCAAAGAGGGGGACCUUCGGGCCUCUUGCCAUCGGAUGUGCCCAGAUGGGAUUAGCUAGUAGGUGGGGUAACGGCUCACCUAGGCGACGAUCCCUAGCUGGUCUGAGAGGAUGACCAGCCACACUGGAACUGAGACACGGUCCAGACUCCUACGGGAGGCAGCAGUGGGGAAUAUUGCACAAUGGGCGCAAGCCUGAUGCAGCCAUACCGCGUGUAUGAAGAAGGCCUUCGGGUUGUAAAGUACUUUCAGCGGGGAGGAAGGGAGUAAAGUUAAUACCUUUGCUCAUUGACGUUACCCGCAGAAGAAGCACCGGCUAACUCCGUG
rnacentral:rRNA from 1 species